rnacentral:rRNA from 1 species
CCUACGAGAGGCAGCAGUGGGGAAUAUUGCACAAUGGGGGCAACCCUGAUGCAGCAACGCCGCGUGAAGGAAGACGGCUUUCGGAUUGUAAACUUCUGUUCUCAGUGAAGAGUAAUGACGGUUGCCAAUGAACAAACCCCGGCUAACCACGUGCCAGCAGCCGCGGUAAUACGUAGGUGGCAAGCGUUGUCCGGAAUUACUGGGUGUAAAGGGAGCGCAGGCGGGAAGACAAGUCAGCUGUGAAAACUACGGGCUUAACUUGUAGACUGCAAUUGAAACUGGUUUUCUUGAGUGAAGGAGAGGGUGGCGGAAUUCCGAGUGUAGCGGUGAAAUGCGUAGAUAUUCGGAGGAACACCGGUGGCGAAGGCGGUCAACUGGGCAUUAACUGACGCUGAGGCGCGAAAGUGUGGGGAGCAAACAGGAUUAGAUACCCGAGUAGUC